CCCAGCCAUGCCCCCAGCCAGAGACAGACCACGCUCCGCAUAGCUCAGGUUUCCAGAAGACUCUCCAGAAGACAAGGGUCAGGGUAGACAUCCAUCUGGGCAAGAGAAGAGAGGACAACUUUGGACUUUGCUUAAGACUUCAGGCCAUGAACUGCCAACUACUUGUUCAACCUGAAUGAUACCUGCUACCUGAUUCUGAGCCUCAACACCUCCUGGAUGUGAUUGCCACCAUCUUCAAGUCAUGUGUCUCCUCUCCUCAGUCUGGACUCAGCUUUGCUGGGCCAGCUUUAUGCCCCUUAUCAGCCUGAAGUAGCUCCAGAAAAUGAGACCUUCAGCCCUUUGCCCAAAAUUAAUUUGGGUUCCAAUUGUUUGAGGGGGGAAUGAUGUGGUGUAGCUUGUAAGGAGGAUGUAGCGAUAACCUAAGGCUACCUGGCCUUGGGAGUUCUGUAGUUCUACAAACAAUGCUGUCACAUAACAAUCUAUUGGUCAGUAAUAACAAAAACAAUCUAAGCCAUAGAAUUCAAUACUAAGACCACGCCUUAAUUUCACCUAGUCUAAGCCAUAAAAUUAACAUAUCAGUGACAUGAAGCACCUGAUCUUUCUUUUUCCUAUGAAUUUUUCUUGCUCCUGGUUCUUUGCUAAAUUCUUUUGGAAUUUAACUUUCUUCAAUUGAUGUUACAAUUAUAAUAAACUUGUCCCUUGACUUGGA